GUAAUUUCAAAAUAAUAAAAAUUCUCCCUGCCCACUGCUUAGUAAUAUCUGUCAAGCAUUUUCUACUGAGAGGACUAUGAGAAGCAAAGCCUUCAAACAGCAAAGCUACUAUGAACAAUCGAUCGAUUAAAUUUGUAGUAUUAUCGGCCUUUCCAGGUCAUUAGAUCAGAGUGUGGGAGAGUUUUGCCAUGGCCUAUGUGGAGAAACCAAACAUGAGUGGGCUACCUUGGACCUCUGAUCCCAACAUAGAGAAAUUUUUUCUUCCCCCGAAUGCAUCGAGUAUUGGGCAAUCUUAUAUCAGAUAUCACAAGCUAAUAUUCAGGCCUGAUAGUUUGGGUUCCAGUAAAGUUGAUAGCCUAAAAUGUACAAACUUUGCUUUUAUCUGAUGUCUAAUUUCUUUACUAUUGGUGAUUAUCCAUAAAGCAGUGUUAAAUCAGCAGAUAUGAAUCUAAGGGGGUAUACUGCAGAAGUUACAGGUCUUUCUCCUAAAGCUAUUGAGAAGGAUGUUCAAGAGUUUUUUGGUUUCUGUGGGGCAAUUGAACAUGUUGAGAUUGUCAAGUGGGUUUGGGUUUAAUAUCUCGGAUUACAUUACAGUUUUAUUAAUCAUACCCUAUAUUUCUGUGUCGAUGAUUUAGGAGGAAAAAAGAAACAAAUGGAAGGGAAAUUAUGAGUAGAGCAAUAUAUUUGAAGUCCAAAAAAUGUAUCUAUCUUUACUAUUCUUGUGUUUCAAUUCCUCCCAAUUUCCUUAAAGUUCAAACCCUCCCCUCAAUUUUGGUGUACAUACAAUAUAAAUGAUAAUCUUUUGUAAUAUAGCUAGGUAAUAUGAGCGAUAAACAAGUUUGGCUAUUA